rnacentral:tRNA from 1 species
GGAGAGCUGGCAGAAUGGCUAAUGCACCGGUCUUGAAAACCGGCGGCCUUUACGGCCUUGGGGGUUCGAGUCCCUCGCUCUCCG